GACGAACGCUGGCGGCGUGCUUAACACAUGCAAGUCGAACGGAAAGGCCCUGCUUUUGUGGGGUGCUCGAGUGGCGAACGGGUGAGUAACACGUGAGUAACCUGCCCUUGACUUUGGGAUAACUUCAGGAAACUGGGGCUAAUACCGGAUAGGAGCUCCUGCUGCAUGGUGGGGGUUGGAAAGAUUCGGCGGUUGGGGAUGGACUCGCGGCUUAUCAGCUUGUUUGUGGGGUAGUGGCUUACCAAGGCUUUGACGGGUAGCCGGCCUGAGAGGGUGACCGGACAAAUUGGGGCUAAGAUACGGCACAGAGUCCUACGUGACGCAGAAGUGGGGAAUAUAGCACAAUGAGCGGCAGCAUGAAGCAGCAACGCAGCGUGCGGGAUGACGGCCUUCGGGUUGUAAACCACUUUCGCAUGUGACGAAGAGUGAGUGACGGUAAUGGGUAAAGAAGCACCGGCUAACUACGUG
rnacentral:rRNA from 1 species